rnacentral:tRNA from 2 species
GUCGAGGAAGGGCGUGGCGACCGGCUUGGCGGGUUUGCUGCCCGCGCCCUCGCCCUGCGCGAGGAUGCGCCAGCGGAUGGUGUCCACGUCCUUGGUG